GUCAUGUUUUCGAUAUGAAUGUGCAUCCGAUGAAUUCAGGAUUAAUAAGGAAGGCAGAGCUGCAGGAGUGCUGGAGAACUAUGCAGAAGGAGAGAAAUACGCAGAACAUAGUCUCCGAAGGUUUGUUCGGAACAGAAACCCUGAAAUCAUGCCAGCAAUUAACAAUUUCUUUACUAAUCCGAGCAAAUAAAGCAUUCCAUAGCAGAGCAGCUCAGCAUGAUGGAUCUCAAGUUGGCAUUCGAUAUACUAUGGUUGAAGACCAUGGUUUAAUAUUAUUCAAUGCUUCAGUGAGAUGGAACUGAAUUCUGUGUGUGCAGUAUGUACAUUUAAGAUGCUGAAUGUGUCUGGUUGUUGUGUUAUAAUGUUCAAUAACCUGUGAUGACCUUUUCGCCUCUAUAUUGAAUCACAUUAUUAGUAUAAUGCAUUGAAAUCAUAUUUACUUUAACACAUUUCGUUUAGAAAGGUGGGAAGAAGUUACAGAAGUUUCUUAGAUACACUUUGGCUUCCAAGAUGGUUAUGCCAUUUGAUUUGCGACCAUGCCACCGAUCUGCUUUUGUAAUGGACUUCAUGGAUAUUCUGUGUGGGUCAUUUUUAUCUCAUGUAAGUCUAAAUAUCGGUAUUCUUGAGGUUUCUGUAUAGGUUACAAAUAUUGCUUUUGAAGAUUAUGAUGCUGGAAACAGCCAUUGUUGAGCAGCAUGCAUCACGAAGUUGGAGCAUUGACAUGUUUGUUGGGCAUUUCAUUGCAUAAUCUUACAUAUAAUUCCAUCAUUUUCUUAA